rnacentral:misc_RNA from 1 species
GGCGUCCGACAUCCCCGUAUCCAUCCUCCGUUCCUCGCCACCCACGCCAUCAACCCCAGCCGCACGUCGGUGCGGCGUUCUCCUCCUAUCGCUCUGUUGUCGUGAUUUCUCUCACCCUUCUGCACCCCGCUUUUCCCGACACUUUUUGCUUUUCUCUUCUCUAUUGCCAUGUGUGCGUCUUACACGGGUAGGCGUAUGGGUAUGCGUCUGUGUGAAGGAGGGGGUGUCUCGCGCCUUCGUUUCUUAGCGUGUUUUGCUUCGCAUUUUGACCUUGUUAAGAGCGGUUCAUUGAUUGCGGCAUGCUUGCUUGUCAGCGUGCCUUCCCUUUUGUUAUAUGGGAGUGUCUGCUUUGGCGUCCGCGUGCCGGGAUAGACUCUGCUUACUCCACUCUGAGCUUUUCUAGCGGUUUUGAAGUGGAGGGCACGGGCUCGCAGUACUGGGGAAUAGCGAGAGAAGGGAGGGCCAGGCUGGUGAGGUGGUGGAGCGUUUGGACGAGCACGAUAAGAGCGAAGUUAUUCCUAGGCGCUUCUUGUUCUUGUUUCUUCUGUGCGGUACAACAUGUACGUCUUAGUGUGUGCUAUGGACUGUAUCGGUGUAGUGUGAGUACCCUAGCGUAUAGUAGAGUUGCGAGGCUGUUGGUGGCGGGAGUUAGGGUGGGGUAGGGACUGAGGUUAGGGAGGAAAAGGACUCGAAUGUUGGGUGCGCGCCAUCUCAGAUGACACAAAUAACUUCGAGUUCAGGUCUUCGAAAGAAGAAGGUGUGUUGCUAAGCGACAGCAGUACGACGAGGCGUAUCAUCAUCAACUUACCUCCACCCUCCCUCGACCUCCUCCUCGACCGCCUUCUCUGUCUACCGUGGUCGUGCUUUGGCUCUCCCUAAAGAAGUUCCGCUUUUGCCAAUGUGCUUCUUUCGUUGGUGUAUCGAUGUCACCGUUUCUACUGUUAUUCUCCUCACCGCAUCCUUCCCCUCGUAGCCCCCUCUUCUUCCUUCAUGUAGCAACGUUCUUUAGCUCAGCUGCCGUAUCGAUUCUAUUCCCUUCGCCAUCUUUUGUGUGUGUGCGUGUGUGUCUGUGCGCUUUCCGGCGCAAAGUUAUGUGGAUAUCGGUGCCGCUCGGUGAAUGUGUUCUUGCUCCCUUUCAUUCAGUGGUGAUAGCG